GCCCUUCUAAGGCCUUCCAAAUGGUUCGCCUGCGUGUGCACAGCUGGGGUGCCAUCCACAGGAGCAUGAGCCACCUAUCAGCAGCUACAACGCCAGGAAAAGGUGAUUCCUCUCAGCUGAAGCUCUCAAGCGCCAACAGCUCCUCAGGUACCUGAACCCCUGGAGGGCACUUCUCAUUCAAACCACCACAGUGGUGGUCUGAGGGGCAACGAAGAAGACCACUGAUGAAUCAUGCACGGAGUAGAAACUUAAAGUCAGUCAUUUUAGUUCCCACCCAGUCCUGCCAAUGUCUCCAAAGCACAUCCUUAGUUAUCUUAGCCUCUUAGCAAAUGAACAAUCUGACCCAA